GUGUCAGCAGCCGCGGUAAUACGGAGGGGGUUAGCGUUGUUCGGAAUUACUGGGCGUAAAGCGUGCGCAGGCGGUUUUGUAAGACAGGCGUGAAAUCCCCGGGCUCAACCUGGGAACUGCGUUUGUGACUGCAAGGCUAGAGUACGGCAGAGGGGGGUGGAAUUCCACGUGUAGCAGUGAAAUGCGUAGAGAUGUGGAGGAACACCAAUGGCGAAGGCAGCCCCCUGGGUCGAUACUGACGCUCAUGCACGAAAGCGUGGGUAGCAAACAGGAUUAGAUACCCUGGUAGUCCACGCCCUAAACGAUGUCAACUAGGUGUUGGGUGGGUAAAACCAUUUAGUACCGGAGCUAACGCGUGAAGUUGACCGCCUGGGGAGUACGGCCGCAAGGUUAAAACUCAAAGGAAUUGGCGG
rnacentral:rRNA from 1 species